rnacentral:rRNA from 1 species
UACAGGGGGGGCAAGCGUUGUCCGGAAUUACUGGGCGUACAGUGCGCGCAGGCGGUCCACUACGUGCCGUGUGACAAACGUCGGCUUAACCGACGGAGGCCAGGGUACACGGGUGAACUUGAGGCAGAGAGAGGGAUGUGGAAUACCCGGUGGAGCGGUGAAAUGCGUAGAGAUCGGGCGGAACACCAGUGGCGAAGGCGGCGACCUGGGCCAAUAUUGACGCUGAGGUGCGAAAGCGUGGGGAGCAAACAGG